rnacentral:rRNA from 1 species
ACUCCUACGGGAGGCAGCAGUGGGGAAUAUUGCACAAUGGGCGCAAGCCUGAUGCAGCCAUGCCGCGUGUAUGAAGAAGGCCUUCGGGUUGUAAAGUACUUUCAGCAGUGAGGAAGGCGGAGUCGUUAAUAGCGGCCUCGUUUGACGUUAGCUGCAGAAGAAGCACCGGCUAACUCCGUGCCAGCAGCCGCGGUAAUACGGAGGGUGCGAGCGUUAAUCGGAAUUACUGGGCGUAAAGCGCAUGCAGGUGGUUUGUUAAGUCAGAUGUGAAAGCCCGGGGCUCAACCUCGGAAUUGCAUUUGAAACUGGCAAGACUAGAGUACUGUAAGAGGGGGGUAGAAUUUCAGGUGUAGCGGUGAAAUAGCGUAAGAGAUCUGAAGGAAUACCGGUGGCGAAGGCGGCCCCCUGGACAGAUACUGACACUCAGAUGCG